AUUGAACGCUGGCGGCAGGCCUAACACAUGCAAGUCGAACGGUAACAGGAAGAAGCUUGCUUCUUUGCUGACGAGUGGCGGACGGGUGAGAAAUGUCUGGGAAACUGCCUGAUGGAUGGGGAUAACUACUGGAAACGGUAGCUAAUACCGCAUAACGUCGCAAGACCAAAGAGGGGGACCUUCGGGCCUCUUGCCAUCGGAUGUGCCCAGAUGGGAUUAGCUAGUAGGUGGGGUAACGGCUCACCUAGGCGACGAUCCCUAGCUGGUCUGAGAGGAUGACCAGCCACACUGGAACUGAGACACGGUCCAGACUCCUACGGGAGGCAGCAGUGGGGAAUAUUGCACAAUGGGCGCAAGCCUGAUGCAGCCAUGCCGCGUGUAUGAAGAAGGCCUUCGGGUUGUAAAGUACUUUCAGCGGGGAGGAAGGGAGUAAAGUUAAUACCUUUGCUCAUUGACGUUACCCGCAGAAGAAGCACCGGCUAACUCCGUG
rnacentral:rRNA from 1 species